rnacentral:pre_miRNA from 1 species
AAUAGAAUAACUGGGUCAAAUGGUGGUUCCAUUCCAGGUUUUCUGAGGAAUAUCCAUACUGCUUUCGAAAAUGGUUGCACUGUUUGCAGUCCCACCAGCAAU